rnacentral:rRNA from 1 species
UACGGGGGGGGCAAGCGUUGUUCGGAAUUACUGGGCGUAAAGGGCUCGUAGGCGGCCGACUAAGUCAGACGUGAAGUCCCUCGGCUUAACCGGGGAACUGCAUCUGAUACUGGAUGGCUUGAGUUCGGGAGAGGGAUGCGGAAUUCCAGGUGUAGCGGUGAAAUGCGUAGAUAUCUGGAGGAACACCGGUGGCGAAGGCGGCAUCCUGGACCGGCACUGACGCUGAGGAGCGAAAGCCAGGGGAGCAAACGGG